GGUGCUGUGGUGUAGUCGGUUAUCUAGUCGGUUAUCACGUCAGUCUUACACACUGAAGGUCCCCAGUUCGAACCUGGGCAGCACCA